GAUGAACGCUAGCUACAGGCUUAACACAUGCAAGUCGAGGGGAAACGACAUCGAAAGCUUGCUUUUGAUGGGCGUCGACCGGCGCACGGGUGAGUAACGCGUAUCCAACCUGCCCACCACUUGGGGAUAACCUUGCGAAAGUAAGACUAAUACCCAAUGAUAUCCCACGAAGACAUCUGAAUGGGAUUAAAGAUUUAUCGGUGAUGGAUGGGGAUGCGUCUGAUUAGCUUGUUGGCGGGGUAACGGCCCACCAAGGCAACGAUCAGUAGGGGUUCUGAGAGGAAGGUCCCCCACAUUGGAGCUGAGACACGGUCCAAACUCCUACGGGAGGCAGCAGUGAGGAAUAGUGGUCAAUGGGCGAGAGCCUGAACCAGCCAAGUAGCGUGCAGGAAGACGGCCCUAUGGGUUGUAAACUGCUUUUAUAAGGGAAUAAAGUGGGUCACGUGUGACUUUUUGCAUGUACCUUAUGAAUAAGGACCGGCUAAUUCCGU
rnacentral:rRNA from 1 species